GUCCCCUUCGUCUAGUGGCCUAGGACACUGCCCUUUCACGGCGGCAACAGGGGUUCGACUCCCCUAGGGGACGC
rnacentral:tRNA from 1 species